UACGGAGGAUGCAAGCGUUAUCCGGAAUGAUUGGGCGUAAAGCGUCCGCAGGUGGCUAUGUAAGUCUGCUGUUAAAGAGUCUAGCUCAACUAGAUAAGAGCAGUGGAAACUACAAGGCUAGAGUACGUUCGGGGCAGAGGGAAUUCCUGGUGUAGCGGUGAAAUGCGUAGAGAUCGGCAGGAACACCCAGGGGGAAACCAGUCGACUGGGCAUCUACUGACGCUGAGGUGCGAGAGCGUGGGGAGCGAACCGG
rnacentral:rRNA from 1 species